CACGUAGGGCGCGAGCGUUGUCCGGAAUUAUUGGGCGUAAAGAGCUCGUAGGCGGUGUGUCGCGUCGGCCGUGAAAACCUGCAGCUUAACUGUGGGCUUGCGGUCGAUACGGGCAUCACUGGAGUUCGGCAGGGGAGACUGGAAUUCCUGGUGUAGCGGUGAAAUGCGCAGAUAUCAGGAGGAACACCGGUGUCGAAGGCGGGUCUCUGGGCCGAUACUGGCGCUGAGGAGCGAAAGCGUGGGGAGCGAACAGG
rnacentral:rRNA from 1 species